GAUGAAGAACGUAGCGAACUGCGAUAAGUAAUGUGAAUUGCAGAAUUCAGUGAAUCAUCGAGUCUUUGAACGCACAUUGCGCCCCCUGGUAUUCCGGGGGGCAUGCCUGUCCGAGCGUCAUUGCUGCCCUCAAGCACGGCUUGUGUGUUGGGCCCCGUCCUCCGAUCCCGGGGGACGGGCCCGAAAGGCAGCGGCGGCACCGCGUCCGGUCCUCGAGCGUAUGGGGCUUUGUCACCCGCUCUGUAGGCCCGGCCGGCGCUUGCCGAUCAACCCAAAUUUUUAUCCAGGUUGACCUCGGAUCAGGUAGGGAUACCCGCUGAACUUAAGCAUAUCAAUAAGCGGAGGA
rnacentral:misc_RNA from 1 species